GUCUCAGACAUAAUAAGGAAAAAUGGCUCUUAUUUUCUCAACAAGGUUGCUGAAUUUGCCAGCUUUUUCAUUCGCUGAUGCGGAGACAAUCGCAGUGGUGAAUUCAUGAACAAAUAAACUGGACAAGGGGUUAUCAAAUAUCGUGGAGGGACAGGUAGUGGUCAGAGCUAGAAGCUUCAGGUCCAUGAAGAAACAUGAGGAACCCCACAGACUGCAGAUCUCACUGGGUGUUGAAAAGGCUGAGUUGUUGCUCAUUCCUGUAGUUGUGCAGCUGGAAAAGGAUUUUGCAACCAUGUAGUUGCACUUCUUUACCAGACUGCCCACUACUCCCAGCUCCAGCUGCUCCUCCUGCACUGGUUUGCACAAGUCAUUUACAAAGAUGGCACAGACCACGAACACAGGUAAAAAACUAUUUCAUUGAACACUUUUUUUUCUGUUGUAAUGUCAU